AGUAUUGGAGAAACAUGUACAAGUUGUUCUUCACAAGAAAGAAUGGAUGAGAUAGAAGAUAAUAUAGAUAUAGACGACAAUAUUAAUAUGGAUGUAGAUGAAGAAGAUGUUAUUGGUAACGAAAUACAUUUGCCUUCCAAGGGAUGAGAAUGGCAAAAAUUCUCAUUGAGACGGUUCUAAAAGAAUAUCCCAAUACGACGAAGAAUGAGA